rnacentral:rRNA from 1 species
AGCGAACGCUGGCGGCAGGCUUAACACAUGCAAGUCGAGCGGGCACUUUCGGGUGUCAGCGGCGGACGGGUGAGUAACGCGUGGGAACGUGCCCUCUGGUUCGGAAUAACUCAGGGAAACUUGAGCUAAUACCGGAUACGCCCUUUUGGGGAAAGGCUUGCUGCCGGAGGAUCGGCCCGCGUCUGAUUAGCUAGUUGGUGAGGUAACGGCUCACCAAGGCGACGAUCAGUAGCUGGUCUGAGAGGAUGAUCAGCCACACUGGGACUGAGACACGGCCCAGACCCCUACGGGGGGCAGCAGUGGGGAAUUUUGGAAAAUGGGCGAAAGCCUAAUCCAGCCAUGCCGGGGGAGGUAGGAAGGCCUUAGGUUUGUAAAGCUCUUUUACCCGGGACGAUAAUGACGGUACCGGGGGAAUAAGCCCCGGCUAACUUCGU